UACGUAGGGUGCGAGCGUUGUCCGGAAUUAUUGGGCGUAAAGAGCUUGUAGGCGGUCUGUCGCGUCUGCUGUGAAAAUCCGGGGCUCAACCCCGGACUUGCAGUGGGUACGGGCAGGCUAGAGUUCGGUAGGGGAGACUGGAAUUCCUGGUGUAGCGGUGAAAUGCGCAGAUAUCUGGAGGAACACCGGUGGCGAAGGCGGCAUCCUGGACCGGUAUUGACGCUGAGGCGCGAAAGCCAGGGGAGCAAACGGG
rnacentral:rRNA from 1 species